rnacentral:rRNA from 1 species
AUUGAACGCUGGCGGCAUGCCUUACACAUGCAAGUCGAACGGCAGCACGGGAGCAAUCCUGGUGGCGAGUGGCGAACGGGUGAGUAAUGUAUCGGAACGUACCUUUCAGUGGGGGAUAACGUAGCGAAAGUUACGCUAAUACCGCAUAUUCUGUGAGCAGGAAAGCAGGGGAUCGCAAGACCUUGCGCUGAUUGAGCGGCCGAUAUCAGAUUAGCUAGUUGGUGAGGUAAAGGCUCACCAAGGCGACGAUCUGUAGCGGGUCUGAGAGGAUGACCCGCCACACUGGAACUGAGACACGGUCCAGACUCCUACGGGAGGCAGCAGUGGGGAAUUUUGGACAAUGGGCGCAAGCCUGAUCCAGCCAUGCCGCGUGAGUGAAGAAGGCCUCGGUUGUAAG